rnacentral:rRNA from 1 species
GGGUGCGUAACACGUAAGAAUCUGCCUUUAGGAAGGGGAUAACAUUUAGAAAUAUUUGCUAAUACCCUAUAUGCUUCACAGUGAAAGAAUUUAUUCGCCUAAAGAGGAGCUUGCGUCUGAUUAGCUAGUUGGUAGGGUAAAGGCCUACCAAGGCGACGAUCAGUAGUUGGUCUGAGAGGACGGCCAGCCACAUUGGAACUGAGACACGGUCCAGACUCUUACGGGAGGCAGCAGUGAGGAAUUUUCUGCAAUGGGCGAAAGCCUGACAGAGCAAUACCGCGUGAGGGAUGACUGCCUACGGGUUGUAAACCUCUUUUCUCAAGGAGGAAGAUCUGACGUUACUUGAGGAAUAAGCAUCGGCUAACCCUGUGCCAGCAGCCGCGGUAAUACAGGGGAUGCAAGUGUUAUCCGGAAUUAUUGGGCGUAAAGCGUCUGCAGGUUGAUCUAUAAGUCUUUUGUCAAAUCUUUGGGCUUAACCCAAAAACAGCAAAAGAAACUAUUUAUCUUGAGUAUGGUAGAGGUAAGGGGAAUUUCCAGUGGAGCGGUGAAAUGCGUAGAUAUUGGAAAGAACACCAACAGCGAAGGCACCUUACUGGGCCAUUACUGACACUCAGAGACGAAAGCUAGGGUAGCAAACGGGAUUAGAUACCCCGGUAGUCCUAGCUGUAAACGAUGGAUACUAGGUGUUGCGUACUUUAUAGUAUGCAGUGU